rnacentral:rRNA from 1 species
GACGAACGCUGGCGGCGUGCUUAACACAUGCAAGUCGAACGGAAAGGCCUCUUUCGGGGGGUACUCGAGUGGCGAACGGGUGAGUAACACGUGAGUAACCUGCCCUUGACUUUGGGAUAACUUCAGGAAACUGGGGCUAAUACCGGAUAGGAGCUCCUGCUGCAUGGUGGGGGUUGGAAAGUUUCGGCGGUUGGGGAUGGACUCGCGGCUUAUCAGCUUGUUGGUGGGGUAGUGGCUUACCAAGGCUUUGACGGGUAGCCGGCCUGAGAGGGUGACCGGCGAGAGGGGGAAGGUGAGAAGGGAGAGGUGCAGCGGGGAGGGAGCAGUGGGGAGGAUGGGACAAGGGGUGGUAGCGUGAGGCAGCAAGGCUGAGGGGGGGGUGAUGGGGGUGGGGUGGGAAAACGAGUGCGCGGGUGAAGAAGCGUGAGAGAGGGGAAUGGGUAAAGAAGAAAGGGAUAAUCAGGUG